AUGACGCGUUGAUCCCUGGUUGGCCCGUCAAUGGAUGAGACGAGGGAGGGCGUCUGCCUCGCCUCUUCGUCCUCCCAGUCGCCCCCACCAUCCCCGCACUCACCGCUGCCGCCACCCUUCACCCCCCGUGGUCCGCCUCCUCCCCUCCCCUCCCCUCCUGUCGCCCGAAUCACAUGCCUGCUGGUCGGGCCGCGGUGGCCGGAUUCGAAGACGGCCGGGCGGCGAUCACUCCCGUGAGGCCCGGCGGCGAGCAGCGCGCGCCGAGGGGUGGAAGGGCGCUCUGGAUCCGGCGCGAUGGUGGCCAUGGCCGAGCUCGAGCCCAGACAUGUGGGUGCGUUAGUGAGCGCGGCGGCGGUCGGGGCCGAGCUCUGAGCACGGCGGCGGCCAUGGCCUAACUACCAGCACGCCGUCGACGGCCAACCGGGCCGCCGCACGCAGGAAGGAAGAGCAGCAGUAGCCGGGACGAGGGCGGGGAUGGAGAACGCGGCGUCCAUCUCGCGGAGCCUCUGGCCAUCCCUCACCCUGAUGCCUCCGUCCUUCCUCCUCCCCAUCGGGGCCAGGCAGAGGAGGAGGAGCGCCGGCCACGGGCACGACGAGGAGGCGGCCGGCAUCACCGUGCGCCGCCUGGCCAAGGUCUUCUCCUGCUGCUCUGGGUCACGCGCCGCCUCUGCUGCUGACAGGAGGGGGCCGCGGCAGCCGCCAUGCAUCCCGAUGACCAGGAGCUCUCCUGCGUGGUUCCCUCGAUGGAGGGAUGCUUCCUCCGUCCACUGCUUGCUCUGUGCUGACGCCAUCAGUAGCGGCGGCGGUUGGGCUGAUGCGGACUCUGCGCCACCACCGAAGGCUUCGCCACGGACCGCAUCAUCUCCGACCAUGGCGAAAAGGCGCCCAGCGUCGGCUACAGCGGCACACUCUUCGGCCCUGACCUAGGUGCAUGAGCUCACCGCCGUCUGCCUCGAGGCCGUGUUUCCCUCUCCCUCGAGUUCACCGCGUGUGUGACGGAUUCCCUUAGCCGUGUUGCAGUCACCGGGAUGCUCAUCGCGCUCGUUGGAUUCGGGCUCUACAAGUUUCGAUUCCCAAGUGUCGUGAAAUGUAUCAAAAUCGGUCUUCUAGAGAUCAUACUGCUGGUAGCUCUUUCCCAGUACAUACCUCAUCUAGUGCCUUUGCUGGGCACUGCCUUUGAGGGGUUCGCCAUCAUAAUGUCUGUCGCUGUCGUGUGGCUUUACGCGUUCUUCCUGACGGUUGGCGGGGCGUAUAGGAAUGCUGCUCCACCUGACCAUCCCAAUACCGCAGGAGAUUAGGAUAAAUUGUUUGAUUCUCAGAUCUACCUGACCAUCCCAAUUAUUUGCAGUGCUUGAGUUUUAUGAAAACUUUUCUUUGCAGUGUGUAUGUGUUGCGAGCAGUGAUCGGUACAGCCAAUGCAUCGCUACUGGAGUACUGGCCCUUUUGGUGUGAGUAUGGCUGGAUUAUUUGCUUCUUUCAUGAUGAAGAAAUGGCCAUAGCCAUGGGAGUUUCCUCUUGGCGAUGAUAGCCGGUUGGUGUUGUACGGCUUGGUUGAGCUCAAGGUUAACGAAGACGGCAAUUGUCAGGUUUCUCCUUGUCAUUGAUAGCAUCGGUUAACAUAGGGGCAGCGGUCGCGGUCGCCCGAGGAGCACAGCCACACAGGGCUGGUCCUGCCGCCGCCAAAGAAGAGUGGAGGAGGUCGAUACAGGGUCGAGGAGGGGCACGGGCGAGGUUCAUGCCGCACGGGGGCACGCGGCUCCAGCGAGAGAAGGCUUCUCCUGUUCCCGUGCCGCCAGGCACCCCUCACUGCCGCCCUACUUGUCCUCCGAUAUUCAAGCAGGUCGUUGGUGCUCUGUUGGUUGAUGGAGUUUGCUUAUCUGCCGGCAGACCGCACCGGAGGCCGCCGCCAUAUAGGGGCUGAUGAGGACAUCGUGAUGAGGUUGCCGCUUUGGGCAUAGCAGAGGGGAUCCGGCCGGCACGUUGCGCCUCCCAUAAACAUGCCUAAUUUUAUAUUCAGAGGAAUGUAUCCAUGAACUUGGAAACCUGUGAACUCUUUGAUACGCCUUUUAUGUGUUGCUUUUGGUCUUGAUAGAGGGAGAUACAUUGACAGGAAGUUCUCACUUGCUAGAAUUGUUUCUAUCAGGGGCAGAAUUAUUGUUGAAACAUGCACUAUGUGAAGAUGAAUAGGAACCUUUCAUAAUUAUUCCCAAACAUGCCACUGUGUCAUCAUUGGCCAGUGCAGGACCUCUUAGAUUAUACAAGUCCCUAUUUGUUUGGAUUCAUGAACCAUGGGACUUGACUUUCAUUCGAUGCCACUAGCUCCUGUGAUGCACCGUGUAAACUACCGUGUGAUCUCCCUCUUCUUUUGUGAAUGCGUCCCCUUUGUCACAUCUAUCCAUCCUUUUGUACUUGAUAUGUACCGUGUAUGAACAAUUGUAUCCUUUAAUUUACCCUGUAUAUGAACAUUGCAUCCUCAAAUGUGUUGUGUU